GCUUCUAAUCCGUGAAAUACCUAAGGAAGUCUACAAUCUUUCCAUAGAGAUGUUCCUAUAACACUUGCUGUGAAGGCAUGUAGAUAAAGAAGAUGACGACGAUGAUGAAGACGACAUUGAGCUCAAAAACAUUGAGAUCAAUUUUCGUACCUGAAGUCUCAUAUCAUUAUACUGAGAGGAAAUCUUGCACAAAACUAUCAUAUUAGGGACGGUCCUUGUAUUCAUCAUGCAGAUAUUCAAGUUGGAGAAGUUUAUAAACAGCAAAUGAGUACAGAUGUUCUUAGUUGUACUGCUUUUAAGUUGCUGACUGCACUCUGUAAUGUUACUGUACUAGCUGUGGAUAAUGUUUUUUGGGAGCUUCUCUCCUACAAGUCCAGUCAUUCAUGGGCAGAUGCAAAUGCAAUCACUUUAAGACAUGAGCAAUGUAUAUCUGUCUGUCUGGCCAUCCAAGAAACGUAUACAGAUGAUAACUAUCCUCCUCGGUAGACUGCCAAAUGCACAAGAACAGCCUUUAUACGUGUUGACUCUGGAAUGGAAUUCAGAAAACCUUGAGACUGUUGGGAUUCCAAAUUUUCUGGAAUAUAUUUACAUUAACAAGUUUGUUGGACGUGAGAUUGAUCUUCUCCUGGUGAAAGUUUUCCUUGAGAAUGCGAAAGCAUUAGUGAAGUUGGCCACUACCUUUCAGAGUGGUGCUGAAUCGGAUGAUGGAAAGAAAUCUAAGAUUAUUGAGAAGUUAUUGGCAUUUCCAAGAGCUUCAACAAACCUUGAGACUGUUGGGAUUCCAAAUUUUCUGGAAUAUAUUUACAUUAACAAGUUUGUUGGACGUGAGAUUGAUCUUCUCCUGGUGAAAGUUUUCCUUGAGAAUGCGAAAGCAUUAGUGAAGUUGGCCACUACCUUUCAGAGUGGUGCUGAAUCGGAUGAUGGAAAGAAGUCUAAGAUUAUUGAGAAGUUAUUGGCAUUUCCAAGAGCUUCAACAAAAACAGAAGUAUUUCUCUUGUAAAUUAAACUUUAGUUUCUGAAAAGAGCUAGUUAUUGGCACUAAGUUAGUGAGAUGCCCUUGCCAAUAUUGGUUGAAAGAUUCUUCUGUUAAUUAUUUUCUUGGCCAUACAUAAAAGAAACAUUUCUGCUUAUUGUUGGGAAUUUCGAGUAUCAGUACUGAAAUACACAUACUUUGUAGGAAAAAUUCAAAUUGCUGAAUGGUUUCUGUGUGGAGAAUGAAGAGAAUUAGUGUUUGACGUUGACACAACAAAAGUUUUAACUCUUUUGUCUUGUAUUCUGGGGGACUUACAUUAAUGAAGCUAUCACAUCCCUUUGAAGAAAACCAAAGAUAAAAAGGGGCUAACUCGAUAGGCUAAUGAUAUUUUAGCCUCUUGACGAAACCUAUGUUUACUCUUGUAAAUAGAUGUACAUUUUGUUCAAUCUUUUUCUAUACCAGGGGGCAAACUUUAUUGCCUCAGUGCUGUAAUAUAGUUGUGUAUAUGUAUUAUAUGUACAGAUAGUAAGUAGAAAGAAACAUUGGGAAAUUAUGAAGA